GCUGAAGGAGAGAUUUCAGAGGAUGCAGGUGUCGGAGGAGGUGGUGAGAGAAGGAACAACAGCCUCCAGGAUGCCCCAAGAUAUACAGGAAGAAGCUGUACUCUCGGUGCUUUUGUGACAUUUCCACCCACCUGACUGGAAAGGGAGCAGGAGUUACCUUUACAUUGAGGGGCUGCAGGAGACCAGCCUGAAGAACUGCAAGAGAGUCGAGCUUCACCAACCAGAGUGUAUCCUUUGUCACAUUUAUAUAUCGCCUCCGUACGACUGAAUAUACCGAAUGCUUGAUGUCGUUCAUACUGUCCAUGGUCAAUGGUAGGAGGGAAAUCACAGCCUCGAUGGUGAGAGACAAAAGUGACAGAGUAUGAGCUUGUAGAAUGUAAAAUAUAGCUCACCCCAGAAUCUGCGUGGUUUGUAGGAGGCUUCCUUCUGUCCUGUGAUCUUCUCUGCCCAUGGGAUCAAGUGUCAAACCCAAGACCUGGGCUGCCCCCUUGUAAGUCUCAGGGUGAGGAACCACCAUGGCCCCCUCAUUAGACCAUUUGACAGUCAUAUCCAAUAUCUUCAAAAGUAUAAUGGGAAUAAACAAAACCAAUGCUAGGUCCAAACUCCAUAUUGAGUUCUUGGUCUAUGGGGUAAGACUAGUCAUAUCCAAGAAGUCAAAUAGAAGCCAUUGAUUUCCCUAUUGUCUUCCCCAGGAAGGUGAGAUACUAUAUUAAAAAAAUACAUCAUAUGCCAAGGGGAAAGUGGAAUGGGAAAAUUGGUGCCACUCUUGAAGAACAAAAGCUACGUUCCCAUCAUAUCGCCGUUUAUUUCCCCAAUCUGUCCACCAGGAAAACUAGGAUUCUGGGAAAUUACAGUAAAGUAUUGAAAACUGAACAUUUUAGUCUCAUUUCACAUGGGGUAUCUUUGCUAAAGUAAAUUUAGUUAUCCUCAGGUAAAUGGGGUCACUGGUUUAGCUAAUGCCUUCUUUUCAUCCUAAUCGGAAAGAAGGGGUCAGAAACAGUUUGCAUACACAUGGAAAGAUCAAAUCACACAUUUGUAGUUUUAGACCUGGGUAUGAUUAGUCACUUACCCCUGUCAUAAUAGCAUCUGAAGAUACUACAACUAUCUGCACAUCCACAUUGAUCCAGUAUAUCAAUGGCAUCAUGUUAAUUCUACUGUAUGGGCAAGAAGAAGCUAAUGUGUAGAUAGAUAGAUAGGUAAAUAGAUAAGAGAGAGAGAGAGAGAGAGAGAGAGAGAGAGAGAGACCUGUCCCAGUUCCUGGUGCAGACCCCUAAACGCUUGUAAAUUGCUAAGUGCUGAGAACCCUAAGAACAUCUUUUGUUCUACUGAGGCAACUUUCAGUGGCUCCUGGAUGGGAACCAGUCACCAGAAAGACCAAGCCAUGAAUAAAGCAUGGAAUUUUUCAGCCCCACUCUCCUCUCCAAAGGAGGGGGAAACAGCGUCAAUAAUUGAUCAUGCUACAGAGGGUAAGCCUCCAUAAAAUCUUAGGAGUACAUGGUUUGGAAAGCUGCCAGGUGGGUGAACGCAUCCACGUCCUGAGAAAGUGAUGGAUCGCAAUUCACAGGGACUGAGGCUCCUGUGCUUGGGAUCCUUCCAGACUUCACCCUAUAUAUCCCUUAAUUUGGCUGUUCAUUGUAUCCUUUGUCAGAUCCUUUAAUAAACUGGUUAAUACAAAAGUGUUUCCCUGAGUUCUGUGAGCCACUCUGGCAAAUGAAUGGAAAUCAAGAAGGAAGUCAUGGGAACCUCCAGUUUGUAGCCAAGUUGGACAGAUUUUGGUGGUAACCUGGGGACCCACUACCCACAUUUGAGAUCUGAAGUCAGGAGGGGCGGGGAAGUUUUGUGAGACUGAGUCUUUAAGGUGUAGCAUGUGAUACAAUCUCCAGGUCCAUACUGUUGGAACUGAGUAAAUUACAGGGCAUCCAGAUGGUGUUGUGGAGAAUUCUUUGUGUCAGAAAAAAAAAAAAAAAACCACACGUUUGGUCACCAGAAAUGCUGUGAGUGUUCUGCGUGAGUAGUAAAAGGGACACACAAGGGAGACAGGAGGUGAAGGGAAAGACUGGGCUUUUCCAUCCUUCGUAAUGGUGCUCCAGCAUAUAGAAGGUAAAGAUUCAAGGGUUUGCCAGAUCAAUGCAAUAUUUAGAGGUCCAGGGUACACGGCUUGUUAGGCUAUCCCUCCAAACUAAAGUCGAACUAUUAUAAAUGGCACACCACACCAAGGAAAAAAAGAUGCACAACAUAUAAUAGAACUUUCCCGUUUCCAGAGGCAGGAUCUUCCAUACGUGGGAAUACGAUUCCAGCCCAUGAGCUAGAUGACAUAAAACAUAGCUGGGUUUGUGUGCAGCCCAUGUUGGGAUACGGCUCGGCAGCUAGUUCACUGUCAGUGAAAUCGUCCUGUUGCUUGGACCUUAGGACCCUGCAGAGCCUCGUAUAUUGAAGGUGGCUCUAGUCGGAAAACAUGCAAAUGUCAAUGGCAUGAUCACAGCAUAGACCCUUGAGAUCCUGAAGCAAGGCCAUGCACUGCUGCAGAGAAUUAUGUGCUGUUAGAGACAUAACUCUUGGCAUGUUAUUUGGUCCUGAUAGGAACCGUGCCUGACAUUGGGUCAUGAAGUGAGCAUGUGCCAAAAUCACUCUUCAUGAGCUUGGUCUCUCAGAACCAACAAGUUACAAGGCCAGGCAGGGAGCAAACCGUUCGUUUAUAAAGUGGAAGUCAUCAUCUGGGAUUGAGCAUGAGCAGGACCCGAUGGCACAACAUCUGGCACAAAGAGGCUGCCCGGAUCCUACCUGUGCCCAUCCACCAUUGCCCAAGUGCCUCUUUAGCUCGCGCUUAUGGCUAUGUGGGAGGUAUCCAUGAUAACCAAUUGACAGAACAGAGGAAACCCGAGCCUGGUUCAUAGGUGUAUAUUUGGGGUAUGUGUGUGCAAGCUAAAUGGAUGAACACAAAAGGAAAGGAGGAAGUUUGAGGAAGAAAGGAAGCAAAUUUAGACAGAUGGUUUCAAACAGGUUUGAGUGGGUAUUGAACUGCAGAUUAAGGCAUAUGGAUCAGAAAGAAGUCAAGAAAAGACAAAAAUACCAAGAGAAACAAGGCAAUAA